rnacentral:misc_RNA from 1 species
GAUGAAGAACGUAGCGAAAUGCGAUACUUGGUGUGAAUUGCAGAAUCCCGUGAACCAUCGAGUCUUUGAACGCAAGUUGCGCCUCAAGCCAUUAGGUUGAGGGCACGUCUGCCUGGGCGUCACAUAUCGUUGCCUGAUGCCAGUUUCCUCGUGAUGGGUGACUGUGCAGGGCGAAUCAUGGCUUCCCGUGAGCAUUGUUGCCUCAUGGUUGGUUGAAAAUUGAGUCCUUGGUAGGGAGCGCCGUGAUAGAUGGUGGUUGAGUGACGAACGAGACCCAAUCAUGUGAGACCCCUACCGAAUUUGGCCUUCAUGACCCACAUGCGUCUUUGGAACGCUCAUGACGAGACCUCAGGUCAGGCGGGGCUACCCGCUGAGUUUAAGCAUAUCAAUAAGCGGAGGA